CACGUUCAUCAGUGAAGUUCAUUUUUGAUGUUAUAUCUGGUUACAACACUUGAGAUCACGUUCAUCAGUGAAGUUCAUUUUUGUUCUAAUUCAGUGACUCUGUUACCUUAUAAGGAAUGGAAAUACACAUAUUUCUACUCUGAAACCCUCCCUCCCUCUAUGUAUCUGUGUGCACAGGGUUGUAAAGGCAGUGGGAAGGAAAGCUUGAGAUAUAAUCUUGGUGGUGCAAAGGGGAAGGAGAGAGAAGACGGGGAGUGAGUGAGGAAGGCAGAAGGAUGGGGACCAGGGUGUGACCUGACACCCCUGACCUGGUUUAAGAAAGCAUGAGCCCCUGCCUAGAAAAAGCUCCUGGGGUUCAGCAUGAAGAUCCACAGUGAGGACCCCUGAAAUCCAGCAGGUGCUGAGUCUUCAAGUGCAGAUCAUUUGGGAGUAAGCUUGCUUUCUGCUCUCCUCACCAUGCCCACACGCCCCCAACCCACCACCCUUGCUCCCAGAAGAGGACAGGGGUUUGCUGUUUGCAGCUGGAGAAUUUUCUGGUAUUGGAGGUGAACCCCUGAUUUUUCCAUUCCUGAUACCAGCCCGAGCUCUGUUGGAAUAGCUAUGUGGACCACCUUCCCCUGCCCUUAAGCUAUUGAAUCCCAAAUAACUAAAGAUGCAGAUAAACUGGAGAUAAGAUGGUGGGCCUCUGGAUGCCAGAGAGGGAAGUGGGGACUCUCACCACCCUGAGAC
rnacentral:sRNA from 1 species